rnacentral:rRNA from 1 species
UACAGAGGUCCCAAGCGUUGUUCGGAUUCACUGGGCGUAAAGGGUGCGUAGGCGGUCGGGUAAGCCUGAUGUGAAAUCUCCAAGCCUAACUUGGAAACUGCAUUGGAUACUAUCCGGCUAGAGGAAUGGAGGGGAGACUGGAAUACUUGGUGUAGCAGUGAAAUGCGUAGAUAUCAAGUGGAACACCAGUGGCGAAGGCGAGUCUCUGGACAUUUCCUGACGCUGAGGCACGAAAGCCAGGGGAGCAAACGGG